rnacentral:rRNA from 1 species
CAGCCCUAAACGAUGCGCGUUAGGUGUAUCGGUGACCACGAGUCACCGAGGUGCCGAAGGGAAACCGUGAAACGUGCCGCCUGGGAAGUACGGUCGCAAGGCUGAAACUUAAAGGAAUUGGCGGGGGAGCACCACAAGAGGUGGAGGCUGCGGUUCAAUUGGAUUCAACGCCGGAAAUCUUACCGGGACCGACAGCAACAUGAAGGCCAGGCUGAAGACUUUGCCGGAUUAGCUGAGAGGAGGUGCAUGGCGUAGUCGUGU